UACGUAGGUGGCAAGCGUUGUCCGGAUUUAUUGGGCGUAAAGAGCGCGCAGGCGGUUCGUUAAGUCCGAGGUGAAAUCUCCCGGCUCAACUGGGAGGGGUCUUCGGAUACUGGCGGACUUGAGGAGUGCAGAGGUGAGUGGAAUUCUCGGUGUAGUGGUGAAAUUCGUAGAUAUUGGGAAGAACACCAGUGGCGAAGGCGGCCAACUGGGCCAUUACUGACGCUGAGGUGCGAAAGCGUGGGGAGCAAACAGG
rnacentral:rRNA from 1 species